GACGAACGCUGGCGGCGUGCUUAACACAUGCAAGUCGAACGGAAAGGCCCCUUCGGGGGUCCUCGAGUGGCGAACGGGUGAGUAACACGUGAGUAACCUGCCCUUGACUUCGGGAUAACUUCAGGAAACUGGGGCUAAUACCGGAUAGGAAUCCUUGCUGCAUGGUGGGGGUUGGAAAGCUUCGGCGGUUUUGGAUGGACUCGCGGCUUAUCAGCUUGUUGGUGGGGUAGUGGCUUACCAAGGCUUUGACGGGUAGCCGGCCUGAGAGGGCGACCGGCCACAUUGGGACUGAGAGACGGCCGAGACUCCUACGGGAGGCAGCAGUGGGGAAUAUUGCACAAUGGGCGGAAGCCUGAUGCAGCAACGCCGCGGGCGGGAUGACGGCCUUCGGGUUGUAAACCGCUUUCAGCAGGGGCGAAGCUUGUGGUGACGGUACCUGCAGAAGAAGCACCGGCUAACUACGUG
rnacentral:rRNA from 1 species